ensembl:lncRNA
CACUGCUAUGUCUGUCCCUUGUUGUCAGUAGAUGCUUGUGUACCUGGUCUUUAGUGCUGUCAGUUCUAUGCUGUGUUUUCGUGGUUUACUUUUGUUUGCUGCUGUACCCAGGAUGCCUAGACGAGGAGUCAUACAGCUGGCCAUGCACUUGCUGUUCUCAGUUAUGGAGUCAAUAUAAUAUCACAUAUAUAUAAGCAAAAAAUAAAGUUUUGCAAAAGAAAAUAAAGUUUUGCAAACGAAAAUUAAAGUAUUGAGGAAAAUAAUUUUGCUUUUUGCAAACAAAAAAAUAAAGAAUUGCAAAACAUAAAUGAUACCGCGCAAAAGAAAUGAUUUUGCAAUACAUAUUUUCCAUGGUCAUAUCUAUUAUUUUAUUUGCAACACUGAUUUUAUUUUGCAUGUCGGUCUAGUUUGAGCUUGCGCUGCAGUUUUUCCUGUGCGCUUCAUUUUUCUGCGCGUCUCGCUUUGUGGCGCUGUUUUGACGUGGGGGUGGAGUCAAGGGGCAGGGGCGUGUACAACAUGCCUCCCUGGAAGUGACGUCAUCGGCCCGAGACGCAGCUCACUGAUCCAGGUACUGUCAUGAUGAGCAGAUGCAUGCGAGUGGAUCGCUUCCUUUUAUUCACUAGCAUUAAAACAUGCAUGGUUUCGUUUUAUUAACUUUAUUAACAAAUGUAUAUGUGUAUUAGCAGCGUUUGCUCAAGUUAAAGAAGUUGUUACCAUGCACAUCUGCUGUUUAUUUCUCUCGAUGUGCACACUUUUAUAGCAUUAAAAUGUGUAUUGUUUCAUUUGGUUAACUGCAUGUGUAUUAACAGUGUUUGUUUAAAAUCUCUUAACCUGUGGGAGGACACCAGCGCACAGAAGCGUUCUUUGUUCACAUUAGUUCAGAGUUACUGCUAUAAAAGACUGCACAUCGAGAGAAAUAAACAGCAGAUGUGCAUGGUAACAACUUCUUUAACUUGAGCAAACGCUGCUAAUACACAUAUACAUUUGUUAAUAAAGUUAAUAAAACGAAACCAUGCAUGUUUUAAUGCUAGUGAAUAAAAGGAAGCGAUCCACUCGCAUGCAUCUGCUCAUCAUGACAGUACCUGGAUCAGUGAGCUGCGUCUCGGGCCGAUGACGUCACUUCCAGGGAGGCAUGUUGUACACGCCCCUGCCCCUUGACUCCACCCCCACGUCAAAACAGCGCCACAAAGCGAGACGCGCAGAAAAAUGAAGCGCACAGGAAAAAAACUGCAGCGCAAGCUCAAACUAGACCGACACGCAAAAUAAAAUCAGUGUUGCAAAUAAAAUAAUAGAUAUGACCAUGGAAAAUAUGUAUUGCAAAAUCAUUUCUUUUGCGCGGUAUCAUUUAUGUUUUGCAAUUCUUUAUUUUUGUUUGCAAAAAGCAAAAUUAUUUUCCUCAAUACUUUAAUUUUCGUUUGCAAAACUUUAUUUUCUUUUGCAAAACUUUAUUUUUUUGCUUAUAUAUAUGUGAUAUUAUAUUGACUCCAUAUUCUCAGUCUUGUCUCGCUUCCACUCCUUAAUUCUGUGCUAGUGUGGAGCCCUUUGUUUAUCUCAAUAUUUGUGUCUUAUUUUUCUCCUUUAAUGUCUUGUUCUAUGUUGCAGGAGGAGCUGGUGAGCCUGGCCGGUGUACUGGAGGUUUACUAUGACUUGAGACUGGUCUUCUGUAAGUCCCUAGCUUAAUCUCAUCCUCCGCAUCAUCCAUACAGUGGUGUGACAGAUCUGCUCAGAGACAUGGUCAACCGGUUUGUAUUUGUUUACCUCAAAGACAUCCUGAUCUUCUCCCAGAAUGAGUACGACUAUGUCCAGCACAUCAGAUGAGUGUUCCAGCAGGUGCUUGAGAACUGUAUAUUUGCCAGGAUAAUCAUAGAGCGGUCCAGUGAUUUCUGGUAUUUGCCAAUUUUUACAGGCAGUUCAUUCAGAAAUUUAGCCAGGUCGCCCUUCCUCUGACUGAUCCCACCUCCACUUGAAAAUGUUUCUGUUGGUUGUCACAGGGCCAGGAUGCAUUUACAAGCUUAAAGAGUCACUUUGUUUUGGCUCACAUCCUUCCUACUCCUGAUCCGUCAGUUCAUUGUGGAGGUGAAUGUGUCAGAGGUAGUAGGGGUAGUUUUGUCCCAGAGAUCACCUUUGGAUGACAGAAUACAUCCCUACAUGCCCUGAGAACCUGUUGUUU